rnacentral:rRNA from 1 species
AUUGAACGCUGGCGGCAUGCCUUACACAUGCAAGUCGAACGGUAACAGGUCUUUCGGGAUGCUGACGAGUGGCGAACGGGUGAGUAAUACAUCGGAACGUGCCUAGUAGUGGGGGAUAACUACUCGAAAGAGUGGCUAAUACCGCAUGAGAUCUAUGGAUGAAAGCAGGGGACCUUCGGGCCUUGUGCUACUAGAGCGGCCGAUGGCAGAUUAGGUAGUUGGUGGGACAAAAGCUUACCAAGCCUACGAUCUGUAGUUGGUCUGAGAGGACGAUCAGCCACACGGGGACUGAGACACGGCCCAGACUCCUACGGGAGGCAGCAGUGGGGAAUUUUGGACAAUGGGCGCAAGCCUGAUCCAGCAAUGCCGCGUGCAGGAUGAAGGCCUUCGGGUUGUAAACUGCUUUUGUACGGAACGAAAAGUCUUGGGUUAAUACCCUGGGAUCAUGACGGUACCGUAAGAAUAAGCACCGGCUAACUACGUGCCAGCAGCCGCAGUAAUAC